AAGUGAACGCUUCUAAAUGAAAAGCAGUUAUAGUGAAGACCAGUGUUUAGAGCUAGAAGGACAGUGGGACUUGACUACCUCUUAAAUCCCACAGUUUUUUUUAGGUCUUUCAGAGUUUAUUGAUUGCCAAGAAACAGCCUCUGAGCUGAGUGGAUUUUUUUUUCCUCUUUCAUUUUCAGGCUGUUAUUUAUUAUUGCUGUAACAAAGACUGUGAGAACAGCUGAUGCACACAUCAUGCCAUUAGAGCGAAGCCAGAAGGGUGUGUUUUACAAACCAACUCCACGUUGAUGGUUGGUUCCUUUUUGCCCUUUGGAGAACCAGAGCCAGCAUGAGAAGUCCAGUUGAUGAAAAACUGACAUCUUUACCGAAGCCUGCUUGUGCCUUAUGAACAGUCCUGAGGAAACAGCUAUUGCAGAGCAGGAGACACGCUGCGUGAGCAGGCUCCAGCUGUUCAUCAUGGUUUUGAUCUGCAGGAUUUCAUUGGGUAGCAUAAGGAUCAAUCUAUCUCUUAGACCUGGCCCAUCGUGUGGUUACGACUGAGUCUGUCUGUCCCCAACCCUGCUGUCUCCCUGCCCCAAGGACGAGGAAAUGACUCAGCUAACCUGGACACAACUUGUUGGCGUAUCCACAAGAAGCAAUCAGCAGGUGAUUGCAUUAGUGUAGCAUUGCUUAUGUAUGCAUUCUAACACCAUCAGGCAGUUUUCCAAGGUAUGUUUUAUAAUAACAAAAUGUAAAGUGUGGUUUUCAUAUAACAAAAUGUAAAGCAAUGAACAAGAAGAAAGAAAUAGAGGAAGAAGAUGAGAAAAGAGAAAUACGGAAGGAGGAAAAAAUUGUCCUGGUAGUAGUAUGGCUUUGCUCAGAAUAGUAAACUCUUUUGUAAUGGCUUCCUGAAGUGACAGCCAUUCAUUCAGCAGAGGCAUAGGAUUUCUGAGUCACGGCUGCAAUUCACGAGAAGAGAGAGAAGACCAAACU
rnacentral:lncRNA from 1 species